GCAUGAUUUUUUUCUAUGAAUUGAAAAAUAUCUGACAUAUAACACUAUGUAAUUUAAGGUUUACAACAUGUUAAUUUGAUACAUUCAUAUAUUGUAAUAUGA